rnacentral:miRNA from 1 species
CUAGUGAUCUGUGUUUACCAACU